rnacentral:rRNA from 2 species
GGUAUUGAUUGGUGCUUGCAUCAUGAUUUACAUUUGAGUGAGUGGCGAACUGGUGAGUAACACGUGGGAAACCUGCCCAGAAGCGGGGGAUAACACCUGGAAACAGAUGCUAAUACCGCAUAACAACUUGGACCGCAUGGUCCGAGCUUGAAAGAUGGCUUCGGCUAUCACUUUUGGAUGGUCCCGCGGCGUAUUAGCUAGAUGGUGGGGUAACGGCUCACCAUGGCAAUGAUACGUAGCCGACCUGAGAGGGUAAUCGGCCACAUUGGGACUGAGACACGGCCCAAACUCCUACGGGAGGCAGCAGUAGGGAAUCUUCCACAAUGGACGAAAGUCUGAUGGAGCAACGCCGCGUGAGUGAAGAAGGGUUUCGGCUCGUAAAACUCUGUUGUUAAAGAAGAACAUAUCUGAGAGUAACUGUUCAGGUAUUGACGGUAUUUAACCAGAAAGCCACGGCUAACUACGUGCCAGCAGCCGCGGUAAUACGUAGGUGGCAAGCGUUGUCCGGAUUUAUUGGGCGUAAAGCGAGCGCAGGCGGUUUCUUAAGUCUGAUGUGAAAGCCUUCGGCUUAACCGAAGAAGUGCAUCGGAAACUAGGAGACUUGAGUGCAGAAGAGGACAGUGGAACUCCUGGUGUAGCGGUGAAAUGCGUAGAUUUAUGGAAGAACACCAGUGGCGAAGGCGGCUGUCUGGUCUGUAACUGACGCUGAGGCUCGAAAGUAUGGGUAGCAAACAGGAUUAGAUACCCUGGUAGUCCAUACCGUAAACGAUGAAUGCUAA